rnacentral:misc_RNA from 1 species
GAUGAAGAACGCAGCGAAAUGCGAUAAUUAAUGUGAAUUGCAGAAUUCCGUGAAUCAUCGAGUCUUUGAACGCACAUUGCGCCCCCUGGUAUUCCGGGGGGCAUGCCUGUCCGAGCGUCAUUACAACCCUCAAGCCCGGCUUGUGUAAUGGGCGGCCGUCUCUCCCCCCGGGGGGAGACGCCCCCGAAACUCAGUGGGGAUGUCGCGAUACCGAAGCCUCAGCUAAUGGGUAAACCACAGCUGCAAUGGCCGCGGCCGGCGUCCGCCUUCCACGGUCCGUCCGCCUAGCGCGGGCGGCCUUCUCAAGGUUGACCUCGGAUCAGGUAGGGAUACCCGCUGAACUUAAGCAUAUCAAUAAGCGGAGGA